rnacentral:rRNA from 1 species
GGGGAAUAUUGGGCAAUGGGGGAAACCCUGACCCAGCAACGCCGCGUGAAGGAAGAAGGCUUUCGGGUUGUAAACUUCUUUGACGAGGGACGAAAGAAAUGACGGUACCUCGAAAACAAGCCACGGCUAACUACGUGCCAGCAGCCGCGGUAAUACGAAGGGGGCUAGCGUUGUUCGGAAUUACUGGGCGUAAAGCGCACGUAGGCGGGCAUUUAAGUCAGGGGUGAAAUCCCAGAGCUCAACUCUGGAACUGCCUUUGAUACUGGGUGUCUUGAGUAUGGAAGAGGUAAGUGGAAUUCCGAGUGUAGAGGUGAAAUUCGUAGAUAUUCGGAGGAACACCAGUGGCGAAGGCGGCUUACUGGUCCAUUACUGACGCUGAGGUGCGAAAGCGUGGGGAGCAAACA